CUGCGCCACAAGUGGCAAUCACUUUUAUUGGGCCUAAAGCGUCCGUAGCCGGUUUAGUAAAUUCUUUGUGAAAUUGUUAUGCUCAACAUACCAGUGUGCAGAGAAGACUGCUAGACUUGGAACCGGGAGGAGUCAGAAGUAUUUUCGGGGGAGCGGUAAAAUGCUAUAAUCCCGAAAGGACUACCAGUGGCGAAGGCGUCUGACUAGAACGGAUUCGACGGUGAGGGACGAAAGCUAGGGGAGCAAAACGGAUUAGAGACCCGAGUAGUCC
rnacentral:rRNA from 1 species